CAUCAUGAGAAGUUGAAGACAGCCCUGACAUUUUGGUGGCUCAAGCACCAUUUUAAAGUGGUGUACUGCCUGAAGAAUUCGUUCCCAGAGUGCAGAAAUCAUUUGCUUUCUGAAACUAAACCUUACCAUCCUUCACAGUUCCUCCUCCAAUGGGGUGGGCAUGAGCCUCUGAAGCAUCCUGAGCCCUUCUAAGCUGCAGCUCCAUCUGCUGGAAUACAAGGAAAUUAACCAGUGUCCUAGCGUUCUUCAAUAUGGAUGAUCCUUUGUGUGUACUAAAUCAGAAUUCACCAUUUGACGAUAUCAUUUGUACUAAUGGAAGCCGUUUGGUAGCUGCAGCUAUUUUUUAAUCUGCUACUUUGCAGAUAUUCGGUGCUUUUACAAAAGAGAUAGACUUUAUAAAUGGACAAAAAUAAAUAUAUUACUAUAAGUCACAGUCUGCAUCACAUACAGAAGAAAAGCAGGGUAUCCAUUACCAAGUGAAAAGAAAUACCUUCAAAUACAAACCAAGCCCACCCAUUUCUUUCUACCGUAAUUCUUCCUUUCUUUCUGUGUGUGU